GCCAGGGUGCUGUAGUGGUUUCAGCAUUGUACAAUGACUCUGAAGACCAGGGUUCAAAUCCCAGCUUGGCCA